AGCAACGUGGCGCAGAGGGAGCGUGUCGGGCCCAUAACCCGAAGGACGUAGGAUCGAAACCUACCGUUGCUA
rnacentral:tRNA from 1 species